CACCACCUAUAUUUUAAAUCCUUGCAUGAACGCAGAGGAAUUUGUUAACAAUUUUAAAACUUCUUUCGGUGGUGUGCUUGUGAACCAAAGCAUAUAUUCGUUAGCAGAAGUAGCUGGAAACUUUUCUUCUUUUGGUUUUUUUUCCUCCCUUCUUUUGUUUUUCCUUAUUGACGAAGGAAUCAAAAUCCAACUCAUCUACUUGGUGGUGUUUUCUCUUUGGGUGUAGCCUUUGGUUUACUUUUUGCAUGUCAUCAGGUGGGGUUCAACGUAUGGUUGGUUUUAGUUUUAUUUGUAGUUUCAAACAAAUGUUGAUGCACCAGAUAAAACCUAAUUGAAUUAAGCCACUGACACUAUUAUUUUAAUUACAGUCCCUAGAAAAGUAAUUAUAGGAUUUAGUUCCACUGUUACACAAUCUAUAGUAUAUAAAAUGAUAGGUAGGUGCCAAACUUUUAUCAUCUCUACAACCUCCUUGAUACAAUAGUCAGUCACCAAGAAACUCAUAACCAGCAAAUUAGAUUUUGUGUUUAUAUUCCAAUAUGCCUAAGGCAGAGGCACAAGAGAAUCAACCCCCGGCAGGAUAUCCUACUGGGGAUCCACCUACUAAGAACAAAUGUUUCCCUCGAAGAAAGAAGAAAGGAGACAGAAGCUUCAUUGAGGGAUGCCUGUUCGCGCUUUGUUGCUGUUGGCUCUGCGAAACUUGCCUCUAAAUAAUGCUUUCAAGAAUCAUGAUGCCUAUCUUUGGUUGAAUACCGUCGAUUGCCGCAUUUACUGGUAUUCUAUGAGUUUGGUCAUGUGUUGCAAUAAAGUAGGGAAGUCUUGAAUCUGCUAAGGAAUCUAUAUAUGGAGGUUUUCUUUGUUUUUUUUUUUUUUUGGUUAAACCCAUGUUCAUCAUCUUUAUUUUAAUGAUUUUCUUUAAUUUACUCUUGACAUUUCUGCAUAUGUUUCCUGGAACAGAGAGAUUUCGAGGCUUAAUUUAAGGCAUAUAUUAUUCAGUAGCAGGAACAAGUUUGAGUUCACCUGAAACAAAAAGCCUACGGUUUAUUAAUACUAAAGUUUUAUUUGGCCCA